GUUGGUGGGGUAAUGGCCUACCAAGGUUAUGAUGGUUAGCUGGUCUGAGAGGAUGAUCAGCCACACUGGAACUGAAACACGGUCCAGACUCCUACGGGAGGCAGCAGUGAGGAAUAUUGCGCAAUGGGGGCAACCCUGACGCAGCAACGCCGCGUGAGUGAGGAAGGUUUUCGGAUUGUAAAGCUCUGUCGAGCGGAAAGAAAUGCACGAUGGCUAAUAUCCAUCAUGCUUGACGGUACCGCUAGAGGAAGCACCGGCUAACUCCGUGCCAGCAGCCGCGGUAAUACGGGGGGUGCAAGCGUUGUUCGGAAUCAUUGGGCGUAAAGAGCGUGUAGGCGGCUGGACAAGUCAGAUGUGAAAUCCCUGGGCUUAACCCAGGAAGUGCAUUUGAAACUGUCUAGCUGGAGUAAGGGAGAGGAAAGUGGAAUUCCUGGUGUAGAGGUGAAAUUCGUAGAUAUCAGGAGGAACACCGGUGGCGAAGGCGACUUUCUGGCCCUAUACUGACGCUGGGACGCGAAAGCGUGGGUAGCAAACAGGAUUAGAUACCCUGGUAGUCCACGCUGUAAACGAUGUUCACUAGGUGUUGGGGGUAUUGACCCUUUCAGU
rnacentral:rRNA from 1 species